AGGAUCUACGAAAAGAAAAUCCGCGUAUACUCGCGCCAAAAAGGGUAGCCGCCAUUUUUAUUUCACUAGAUCAACUUUAGUAGUUGUUCCAAAUAACAUAAAGUCUGAAGUUUAUUAAAAC